UAAUGCUCCAUAGUGGAUAUGUCCUGGAAUGGUAUAUCCUCGAAAGAUCCGUCGCCUUAGGAUGGGACUGCGUCCGAUUAGGUUGUUGGCGGGGUAACGGCCCACCAAGCCAUUGAUCGGUACGGGUUGUGGGAGCAAGAUCCCGGAGAUGGAUUCUGAGACAUGAAUCCAGGCCCUACGGGGCGCAGCAGGCGCGCAAACUUUACAAUGCGAGCAAUCGUGAUAAGGAAACCCUGAGUGCCUGUCGAUGCAGGCUGUUCAUAUAUCUAAAUCAUAUGUGAAGAAAGGGCAGGGCAAGACCGGUGCCAGCCGCCGCGGUAAUACCGGCUGCUCGAGUGAUGGCCACUAUUACUGGGUUUAAAGCGUCCGUAGCUUGACUGUUAGGUCUCUUGGGAAAUCUUCACGCUCAACGUGAAGGCGUCUAAGAGAUACCGGCAGUCUUGGAACUGGGAGAGGUAAACCGUACUUCGGGGGUAGGAGUGAAAUCUUGUAAUCCUCGAGGGACGACCUAUGGCGAAGGCAGUUUACCAAAACAGCUUCGACAGUGAGGGACGAAAGCUGGGGGAACAAACGGGAUUAAAUACCCCGGUAGUCCCAGCCGUAAACAAUGUGCGUUAGGUGU
rnacentral:rRNA from 1 species